GUGGGUGCUCAGACUAAGGCAGUGAAGGGCUGCUUCUCUAGCAAGUGAUUUCUGGAGUAUCCUAUGACAUGGAUGGCUUUUGUGAAAGGAACCGGGAUGUGCUUUUUAUGGAUCUCAUCGAGCUUAUGCAGAGCAGUGAGCUGCCUUUCAUAAAGUCUUUAUUUCCAGAAAAUCUGCAGGCUGACAAGAAAGGGCGCCCAACUACUGCCGGAAGCAAAAUAAAGAAACAAGCCAAUGACCUUGUGAGCACCCUGAUGAAAUGUACACCCCACUACAUUCGCUGCAUCAAGCCAAACGAAACCAAGAAGCCCAGAGACUGGGAGGAAAGCAGGGUAAAGCAUCAAGUCGAAUAUUUGGGUCUGAAAGAGAACAUUCGAGUGAGAAGAGCUGGCUAUGCCUAUCGGCGCAUCUUCCAAAAAUUCCUACAGAGGUAUGCUAUUCUGACCAAAGCCACCUGGCCUUCUUGGCAAGGAGACGAGAAGCAAGGCGUCCUGCACCUGCUGCAGUCAGUCAACAUGGACAGUGACCAGUUCCAGCUGGGGAG
rnacentral:sRNA from 1 species